CCUACGGGUGGCAGCAGUGGGGAAUAUUGGGCAAUGGGCGCAAGCCUGACCCAGCAACGCCGCGUGAAGGAAGAAGGCUUUCGGGUUGUAAACUUCUUUUCUCAGGGACGAAGAAAGUGACGGUACCUGACGAAUAAGCCACGGCUAACUACGUGCCAGCAGCCGCGGUAAUACGUAGGUGGCAAGCGUUAUCCGGAUUUAUUGGGUGUAAAGGGCGUGUAGGCGGGAGCGCAAGUCAGAUGUGAAAACUCCGGGCUCAACCCUGAGCCUGCAUUUGAAACUGUGUUUCUUGAGUGCUGGAGAGGCAAUCGGAAUUCCGUGUGUAGCGGUGAAAUGCGUAGAUAUACGGAGGAACACCAGUGGCGAAGGCGGAUUGCUGGACAGUAACUGACGCUGAGGCGCGAAAGCGUGGGGAGCAAACAGGAUUAGAUACCCCUGUAGUC
rnacentral:rRNA from 1 species